rnacentral:tRNA from 1 species
AAAAAUUUAGUUAAAUAAUAUAACAUUAGCUUGUCAAGCUAAAAUUAUUUAUAUAUAAAUAAUUUUUA